AACGAACGCUGGCGGCAUGCCUAACACAUGCAAGUCGAACGAAGCCUUCGGGCUUAGUGGCGUACGGGUGCGUAACACGUGGAAUCUGCCCUUCGGUUCGGAAUAACAGUUAGAAAUGACUGCUAAUACCGGAUGAAUGACGUAAGUCCAAAGAUUUAUCGCCGAAGGAUGAGCCCGCGUAGGAUUAAGGUAGUUGGUAGGGUAAUGGCCUACCAAGCCGACGAUCCUUAGCUGGUCUGAGAGGAUGAUCAGCCACACUGGGACUGAGACACGGCCCAGACUCCUACGGGAGGCAGCAGUGGGGAAUAUCGGACAAUGGGCGAAAGCCUGAUCCAGCAAUGCCGCGUGAGUGAUGAAGGCCUUAGGG
rnacentral:rRNA from 1 species